rnacentral:misc_RNA from 1 species
GCCGUACCAGAGAAGGAGGGCGUACGAGCAAAAGACGGUGAAGUAGGUGGCACCGAGCCCCAUCCCCUUGGCAAAGCCACUGCGGUAGCCGAGCCUCUGUGCCACCUGGAGCGCCGCCGAGUAGGCGGCCAGUGCUUUCGAUUCUCCUACAAACGACUGCACCGUCCUGAUCUGCGCCAAUGCCUGCUCGGCAAUGUUGCCGGCCAGUGAGAGAGAGUCCUGGCUCUUAGACGACAGCUUUGCCAGCGUCGUAGCAUGGAUGCCGCCGAUGAGCGCGAUGAGGGGGACAACCGCGAGUGUAACAAGAGCAAGUUGCCAUGCGGCGGUGAACCCGACGACAAAGCCAGAGACGAAGGUGGCCAUGUAAUGGAUGAGGUUCCCAAGCUUCUCGCUAAUGGCAUCCUGGAUGAGCACCGCAUCUGCAUUGAUGGCAUAGACGACGUCGGAGGUGCGGACAUCGGUGUCGAAGUAGCGGACGUCCUGGUUGAGCGCCGACUGCAGAUAUGUUAUCCUCAUUUUCGUC